rnacentral:pre_miRNA from 1 species
GAUGUUUUGCUGAAGCUGGUAAAAGAGAACCAGAUCGAUUGUUACACGGAUUUGGUCCCCUUCAACCAGCUGUAGCUGUGCAUUCAU